rnacentral:rRNA from 1 species
UACGUAGGGACCAAGCGUUGUUCGGAUUUACUGGGCGUAAAGGGCGCGUAGGCGGCUUGACAAGUCACUUGUGAAAUCUCCGGGCUUAACUCGGAACGGCCAAGUGAAACUGUCAUGCUAGAGUGCAGAAGGGGCAAUCGGAAUUCUUGGUGUAGCGGUGAAAUGCGUAGAUAUCAAGAGGAACACCGGAGGUGAAGACGGGUUGCUGGGCUGACACUGACGCUGAGGCGCGAAAGCCAGGGGAGCAAACGGG